rnacentral:rRNA from 1 species
UACGGAGGAUCCAAGCGUUAUCCGGAUUUAUUGGGUUUAAAGGGUGCGUAGGCGGACUUGUAAGUCAGUGGUGAAAGCCUGCAGCUUAACUGCAGAACUGCCAUUGAUACUGCUGGUCUUGAGUAUAGUUGAGGUGGGCGGAAUGUGUCAUGUAGCGGUGAAAAUGCUUAGAUAUGACACAGAACACCGAUUGCGAAGGCAGCUCACUAAACUAUAACUGACGCUGAGGCACGAAAGCGUGGGUAGCAAACAGG